rnacentral:lncRNA from 1 species
GUUUACAGCUUUUUUACACUGCGGCCUUCUCAUUUGUUUACAGCUUUUUUACACUGCUCGACACGCAUUUUAAGGUGCAUAUAAAAUAUAGUUCCAUAAUUUAUUUUCAAAAAAAUUCUUUUUCUAUAAAAAUUUAAAUACUGAACUUUUAUUCAAAAGAAAAAAAAGUUCAAAAUAAUAUAUUAAAAUAUAUUUUAUGUGAGCAUUAGAAUGUGUGCCGAGUCUCCAUCCCCCAAUGUAAACAAUUGAGGGGGAGUACUCCC